rnacentral:rRNA from 1 species
GAUGAACGCUGGCGGCGUGCUUAACACAUGCAAGUCGAACGAGAAUGGGUUAUAGCUUGCUAUAAUUGUCAGCUAAGUGGCGCACGGGUGAGUAAUGUAUAGGUAAUAUGCCUCUUACUAAGGGAUAACAAAUGGAAACGUUUGCUAAUACCUUAUACUCCUUAUUAACAUAAGUUAAUAAGGGAAAGAUUUAUUGGUAAGAGAUUAGCCUGUAUUGUAUCAGUUAGUUGGUGGGGUAAUGGCUUACCAAGACUAUGACACAUAAAUGGUUUGAGAGGAUGAUCAGUCACACUGGAACUGAGACACGGUCCAGACUCCUACGGGAGGCAGUAGUGGGGAAUAUUGCACAAUGGACGAAAGUCUGAUGCAGCAACGCCGCGUGGAGGAUGACACAUUUCGGUGCGUAAACUCCUUUUAUAUGAGAAGAUAAUGACGGUAUUAUAUGAAUAAGCACCGGCUAACUCCGUGCCAGCCGCCGCGGUAA